UCACCUUUCAGUAGUCUCUGAGUUCAUGCGGGUUUUAUUCAACAGGUUUCCAAAGUCAGUUUUUAUUAUCUCACCCUUCUUCCGCACCUUUUGCUACAGAACCUUUACUUCCUGCUGCUACUAAGAUCCAAGCCCCCGUUCACCACAGCUAACGUUUUUCUUCACCGCAGAGUUGGUUCCCUCCUAGGGAUCGCUGUUGGAACAUCUGGACUCAGCUUCCAGAGACACACGGGCUUCAAUAUGUUACCUUCCACGUGUGGACAUGCGAUCUUGCUUGGAUGGAGUUUGUUUCUGGAACUGUCGUGAACUGUAAGGAGAAGAAACAGAACUUAAGAAUGAAAUGGGGCACUACUGAUUACACAGGGCCGGCAGGCGUAAACCAGAACUGUCUUGGGGAAACUGGGACAAAGCCCACCGGGACCCUGAGACCCACUGAUGAUGUGCGUUGCUUGCUGGUAACUUCCUGACCUUGGUGCCUACAGGUGUCCUCACCGCUCUGGUGUCCUUGGUCUUCGUCAGACCCGUCAAGCAUUCCCUCACCCGUAGCAUGUGCUGUCCCCUCCACCCAAACUCAGCUCUCCCGGACAGCCAUUGGGUUCCAUCCACCCUUCACUGGGGCCUCUGCUUAAAGUCACGUCCUCGGACACCCAAUCCAGAAGAGCUCUGCCCUACACUCUUGGUCACUCUCUUACCCUGCAUCCUUUUCUUCAUGGCACUUACCACUGCCUGAUGUGGCCUGACACACUGGCUCAGAUUCUCUUUAUGAACCGUUGGGGCCUGUGACACUCCUGACCGCACCUGCCUCCCAACAGGACUCAAUCAACAUCCACCAAAUGCACGACUGAGCGAGCUUUUGCCACCGCCGCGUCCUCACAUCCGAUGGACCUGGUCUUUCCCACCAUGUUUUCUUCUUCAAUGUUUAGUCGCUUCUUUUGCCUGCUUCUUUUUCUGGGGGAAAAAAAAAAGUUAGGAUCCCCCUUCCCAAAUUCUAAAAUAAAUCAACAGAAAUCACCUCUAUUUGGAUUAUUUUUUGAAACUGUCCACAGCUAACACCUAAUUAGGAGGCACACGCCAUGGUCACCAUGCUCUGCCUUACCACCCAGCGUGUAAGAAUCUCCAACCUUCCUUCCCUUGUGCCAGGUUCUCUUAAGCUCUCAGUAUGGCGUUCAGUUGUCUUCAAGAUGAUCUCGAGCGCACUUCAGUGCAUCAGGCGGGUGGCGACCAUCACGACGGCUGACACAGUUAUGACGGCAAGGUUCACAGCGACAACCAUAGCAAUAACGUGGCCACGCAGAGCAUAACGCGGUCUCCAACACCGACAACAUCUGGAGCCUAGGAGGCCCACGAUAAGUAUUUGCUGGAUCCAUGAAUAAAUUAGCACCCGUUGUCACAAUCUUCAUUUUUCCUGUUUUUACUGAGUGCCCCAAAUGAAUCGCUGACUUACACCGACGACCAUUGUUUUAGAGUAACUAUCCUUAACCUGUGAGGCAAGAACCCUUCCUGUUCCAGGUUUCAAAGAGUUAUGGCUGAAAAGGGGACUGAAAGGUAUCAGAUGUAUUUGCAACACCUUUGAGAUGCUUCUAUAACUUUCUUUUCAAACGUAUCAGUACAACCGAUCGCUUAAAUGUUACAACAUCUUUCCACUCCUGGGUAUAAAUUCUGUAUUUGUGUGUUCGUGUACCGUGCAUGUUCAGGUUUAGUCCAGAGGGGCGUGGUAAGGUUUUGAUUAGGAUUUUUACAUUCUAACAAUUUUUGAAAAAGGUUUAUUUAUUUUUGAGACAGAGAGAGAGACAGAGAGACAGAGAGACAGAGCGCGAGUGGGGGAGGGACAGAGACAGAGGGAGACACAGAAUCUGAAGCAGGCUCCAGGCUCCGAGCUGUCAGCACAGAGCCUGAUGUAGAGCUUGAACUCACAAACGGUGAGAUCAUGACCUGGGCCGAAGUUGGACGCUUAACCAACGGAGCCACCCAGGCGCCCCUAGGAUCUUUACGUUCUAGUUCAAUGGAUACGGAUUUACAACUGCCAUGUCUGUGUUGUGCAGGUCAAAUGUAGAAGUCAGGUUUACGCUAUCUUUGCAGAAACACAUCUCCUGUUAAAUUAUCAACGCAAUUUGCUUAAAGAGAUACCUGAAAUCAGAGCCUCAGGAAGUAAUUAUUCAAAAACCUCUAUACUGUGUUUUAGUUAUCGGCCUUGUCAUUUAAAAAGUUUCUAUUAUUUAAAAAUUUGCACAAAAUAUUUCUCUGUAUUGACAUUUUCAAUUUUUUACUGAACACUUUCACUAAGUAGACUCAUAUCUUUAAGAAAAAGGUGUCGUAUCUUUUCUCGUAACAACUUACAAAUUUCUAAUUUCAUUUCUUUGUAUUUUGGAAUUUCAAAAAUUAGAUUUAACAAAGCAUUGCCUGUUUUACUGAUUAGGAAAAGAAGCGACUUUUAGCUGAAUUUAUGGAUUCCAUUCUUUUUCUAAUUAAUUAAUUUCUGCCAUAUUUCUCUUACUCCUCUCCCCGGGUUUCUUUAGGACUGAUUUGAUUUAAAAACAAAAUAAAAAAAAUGAAGCCUGAGGUGAAUUUGAGCCCAGGUACUUUCUGUUAUUCCUUUUGAAAAAGUGCACCUUUCUCCCUGAUGGCCUUAUUGGUGGUGGUGUAUGUGUUUUGAAAUAACGUGAUCUCAUUUCUAUUCUCAUCUAAGUAACUGACUAUUGUAUAUUUUCAUUUACUUUUUACUUUUUACAUUUACUACCAGUUUGUAGAUAAGUGACUUUCAUUUUUACUUAUUUUCACAUCUUUGAAUGAUUUUGGUGUUUUCUUUUGAGUCCGUUUGUUAAAUUGUAAGUUUAUUGGGGGCACCUGUGUAACUCAUCGGUUAAGCAUUCGACUUUGGCUCAGGUCAUGAUCUCACGGUCAACAGGUUCAAGCCCAUGUGGGGCUCUGUGCUGACAGCUCAGGGCCUGGAGGCUGCUUCUGAUUCUGUGUCUCUGUCUCUCUCUGCCCCUCCCCUGUUUGUGCUCCCUCUCUUUCAAAAAUAAAUAAAACAUUAAAACAAUUAAUUUGUAAGUUUAUUGUACCGUGGUAGAAAAGAAUGUGUUUUGUGCCAUUUCUAGUUUGGGGAAUUUAAGAGAUCUGUCAAGGUUAGCAUGUGACCAACUUUCUAAAUUUUCAUGGACACAGAAGAAGGAAGAAAGCCUACUUAUUUCUAGGAAAAACUACAAUAUACCUGUACAUUUCUUCUUAUUAGUUUCUUCUUAUUAAUUAACAUCAAGUCCCUGAUGUUCACAUGCUUUUCGUGUGUGCUUUAUCUCUCUUGGACUGACGAUACUGUUUUAAAAUCUUAUCACUGCUUCUCUGUUAAAUGUCCUUGGCGAUUAUAAUCAUUUUUGCUUUAUCGGUUUUGAGUCAGUGUAUCUGUGUAACUCUAACAGCAUUAUCCUUUCCCAUUGGAUUUGGGUUUUGUGUUCAUUAAAAAUGGCCCUAUUUGCCCCCAUUAAAUAGUAUUUGCUUAAAAUUCAAUUUCUCUGCAAUUCUAUUUCUUUCUUCUUCUUCUUUUUUAAUGUGCUGACAUUGGCAUGUUGUGUAUUUGCUCAUUUCUUUUAUUUUUUUAUCUCCCUGAUAUUCCCCCUUGGGGUGUAUUUUUGUAAGUAGCGUGUCAGGGGGAAUCUUGGCAUUUUAAUAAGUGGGUUAAUCCAUUUCUCGUCCUGCUUGCUUUUGUGUUUUGUGCUCUCGGCCUUAAAGCUCCCUGCCACUCCAUUUCUCAUCUGCCCUUUGCCGUAGAGAAAUGCGUUCAGCUUGCUCUUACCUUCUGAAAUGGUUCUGAACUUUGACAUUCUCAAUGUAAUCCUAUCAGAGCAGUGCUUUCCCGUCUGUUUGGCCAAGCCCCGGCCCUGUGAGAUGCUCUGUGGGAGAAAGAUCUGUGGUCAAACCUCAUGAGGAAGGAGGCAUGCCAUGUACCCUCUUAGACAGUCUUAAAGCCCAACAGUGUAGAAAAUGCUCUGAUAAGUCCUGCGGUGCCUGUCUUUGCCCUUUUCCUGAGUUACUUUUUUUAGGAGGUCUUAUUUUACCAUCAUGGCCUGAAGCCCUCAUGAAGAUAUUUCCCCAAAUGUCAGUCAAGUAUGAAUUUCUGAGCUUAUCCUGUACAGUGGGGAAACUUGCAGUAUUGAUAGGUUCCUCUCCCUGUAGGCCAUCUGUCCCUAGGACUCAGCCAUGGGGCUUGAUGCCUCUAAGAAGAGAAUGGCGAGUGCUCUGGAGCAUAAAUGCUCUCAGGGUGGGGAAGAGAAGCGUCUGACCUCCAGGAGGUCCCCGUGGGGCAUGAAGGGGUGGAGAAUCUUCAGAUUGAGAGGGAAGAGAAGAAGGGGGAGGGGAGAAGGGUGAAGAGGUGAAGGCCAGAAUCCUGACCCCGCCCUAGGGUUAAGCUAUCCAGGGAUAGAAAGGAUAGUGACCCUGGGGGGGAAAAAGAAACAAGAAGUGAAGGUGGAAGCAGGGAGGCUUCUGUCGCAUUUCCUGUUGGGAUCUCAGGGACACCAGCUGGUCUGUGGCCUCGCACCAGCCACAGUCAGAGACUGUGCACCCUGUGGUCCAGAGGGAUCCAGAAGAAGGAAGCUGGGAAUUCUGGAGGGUCUCACAGGGACAUGGGGCUAACCCUGUUGCCAAGGCUGCCGGAGGUGGCUGAGACCCUGAGGACCCGCAGCUCCGAUGAGAAUCAGUGUAGGGCCUCGUGGGGGGUGGGGGGCGGGGGUCGCCUGGCUGUGCCCAGGGAGUCCCAGGCUUCCGCAGCAGAACCAGAUGGGCACAGGUGGAACGGGGCAUCGCUCAGAAGUUUGAGAAGGACCCGAGCCUCGGUCAGAAUUCCUUCUGGAAACACAAGGCACAUUGAGUUAGGACACCUAAAGUAGAGGUAAAGGAACUGUAAAGGCAAAUAGACAACAUGCCAAUGUUAGCACGUUAG